rnacentral:lncRNA from 1 species
CAAUGGAUUCUGCUUGAUUGAUAAUGAAACCAUGGGAUAGACCUCAGGGAGGUAACGCGGGGCAAGUCUGAAGAGGCUGAAACAACAAUACUGAACAAAAAUACUCCUUUUUGUCCUCUGCUACAUGUUCUUGCUUUGGAGCUGAAGUCAAAGUCGCCGUUUGUAACAGAAUCAUCGUAUCGCUAAGGAAUUGAGGCUCCGUUGCUUCAGGUCCCACCUCACCUUUCUGCUUGGGGAUGCUCUGUUGGUACGAGCGAUUGGAGAAGCCUUUUCAGUUCAGGGCACAACCCACCCUGAGAGCCUGCGUACUUCACUUCAUGAGCAGAG